rnacentral:misc_RNA from 1 species
AACGCACAUUGCGCCCGCCAGUAUUCUGGCGGGCAUGCCUGUUCGAGCGUCAUUUCAACCCUCAGGCCCCCAGUGCCUGGCGUUGGAGAUCGGCCGUACGGCUGCAGCCCUCCGGGGAUGCGCGCCGGGCCGGCUCCGAAAUCUAGUGGCGGUCUCGCUGUAGUCCUCCUCUGCGUAGUAGCACAACCUCGCAGUUGGAACGCGGCGGUGGCCAUGCCGUUAAACACCCCACUUCUGAAAGUUGACCUCGGAUCAGGUAGGAAUACCCGCUGAACUUAA